UGUCCAGUGAAGAAAGCAAAGUUGAAAAGCUCUUACUGGCAUAGGACCUCGAAAAAGGUCUUGACAAAAACAUAAAACCAAUACCUUCCUAAAACCCAAAUUUAGAACCACUAACUCUUCCUCUUCCAAUGUUACAAGAAGAAUGAGAAAGACAGAGCCGAGGAACCUGAACUCACAAUAAAAUAACCAGUGUUGAUUUUUCUUUAGGGAAGUGACCUUUCCAUCCCACCCAUUCCGGGCCAACAGUGCUGCUGCUCCUCUGCCACCAUCUUGGAUUUCACCUUGCUCUGUGCCUGCUUCACAAUAAAGUUAGCUGUGGCUUGCACCUCACCUUCUCUUUUCUCCUUCAUGACAGUAUUGCGUUUUCCUACCACCACCCGACAGUCUACCUGCAGAUACCAAGGAAAUCUUCCAAGACAUUUGAUUUUCUUUGGACUUUUAUAUAUUCAUCAUAUGUAUUUAAAUACAGCGUGAAAAGGGGCCUGCACACUUCACCAGACUGCCAACACUGCAGUAUUCUAGUUCUCCAGAAGACGACGCUCACGAACUUCAAAAGCAGAGGAGUGGAUGCUAAAGAAAAGACGACAAAAAUGGCUGCAAUCUGAAAUGAUCCCACAGGAGGGAGACACUGAGACCCCCUUCACUUUGCACGCAGCCCGAAAAGGGGUGGAACAGAAAGAGGAGGGGGAGGAUUAGAGCAAUUGCGUCAGAGAAGGGAGGGGGAGCGAAGUUUUUUCUUUUUUUUCUCCUGUUGCUAGGAGACCAUGUUGCUAAGAGACAGAGCUCGAGCUUCUCCCGCCCCUCUCCUGAGUCGUUUUUUUCAAUCGUCAUCGUUUUCCUCUGGUCGCUUUGCCGCCUUAUUUAAAUC